GUUUUGAACCAUAUCAAAAAAUAUAAACCUACGCUGAUUACCAAAUCCAACAUAUCCAAUGCAAAAGGGCCCAAGAAAAAAAAAAAAAAAAAAGAGGAAAAAAACGAAAAUAAGACAGUUUUUAUCACAAAUAAAAAAAAAAAAAGGUUUUGCAAGAACCUCGGCUUCUGAAACUAGUUGAACGCUUGGCCGUGUGACCAGGAAACUAUGAGGAGGACGAGGUGGGUGAGAAUUCUAUUAGCUCCUAUGAUUUCCUUCCGAAAUUAAAAAAAAAAAAGAAAAAGAAAAAAAAAAGAAAAAGAAUUCGAGUGGCACGAACGGAUCAAUAUGUACAUAUGGAAGUCCAUUGAAGCAUAUAGUGAUUGGUUGGCAAGGCCGACACUUUGGGAUGAAGAUUGAAGGGUAUUUGUAUUUAUCAAAGUAGUCAGAGCCCGGAUGUCUUUACCGUAGGGCUGUCCUUUGCAAACGCUGUGCAUGGUACGAACUACGAACUAUGAAAGCCACGCUGUGAGGGAUCAAAGUAAUAAGACGAAGGAAGAGGGACUAUACAGCAAAUAUGCAAAGAUGGUGAGGAUGGGAUCUAAUUAAGCGGACAAAAUAAGAUAGCACAAAAGAGCCAGAAUGGACGGAAAGUGACAAUGCAGACCAAAAGUCAACAAAAAGGAACCGUAGAUUAAAAUCAAGGGUGCAGAUGAUGAAUGCAUGUGAAGGAAAAAGAAAGAACAAGACUGGGUACCAACUGUACGACUCUGAUAACACAUGUGAUGUUAUUCUAAUAGUAGUUAAAGCUUGGUUUGCCAUCUUCAGUUCAUAGUUAUCUAAAUCAUAAUAAUAAUAACAAAGAUAAAAUUUCUUCAA